rnacentral:tRNA from 1 species
GCCGCAUUCGUCUAGUGGUUAGGACGCCACCCUCUCAAGGUGGUAACACGGGUUCAAAUCCCGUAUGCGGUA